rnacentral:misc_RNA from 1 species
AAACAAACUUGCAUAAUUGCUUAACCUUUUUGGUGUUGGCUAUACAGGAUCAUAUCUUUUAAUUCCUCUCAACAUGGUUCCCUUCCUAAUAAUUCUCCACAUGCGAAAGCCAUAAAUGGAGUGUUAACUCAUAUUUGGAUUAACUGCUGAUCUAAAUUAUCUAUCUGGAGGCCUGCCUAGUUUUUAAAAGUAAACUGUUGGGUAGUAUUGUGG